GGCUGGUCUGAAAGUAGUACAUUAUCUCAACUGAGUGUUCACAUUCAGUUACAGACCAAACUCCUUAUUCUACUCUUUUCUCCCCUUCUCACUACUGCACUUGACUAAUAUCAA
rnacentral:Y_RNA from 1 species